GGGAGGGGCCCGGGAGAGGAGGGGCGUCUGCCCUUGUUUCCCCCGUUAACGUUUAAUUUGGGAACGAGAUGCCCGGGGAUGCAACCAGCCCCGCGCUCGGAGGCGGCGGCCGGAGUUCCGUGCGCAGAGGGCACACAAAAGCCUUGAGGAUCAUUGCCUCGACCCCAUCCCCCACCGCGCGGCGACGCCCCCUACGGGCUGGGACACCUCCACCCUCGGACUGCUGCCUGGUUUCCCUCCGGCUGCGACCCUGGAGAAUUUGCCAUCUCCCUACCACCACCACCACACACAGCACCCUCAAGACUCCCUGUGAUCCUGGGAUGCACUAAACGAAGAGUGUGUGGCCCAGGAUUUGAUGGAAAUGCUACAAGAGAAGCAGGCUCUCCCCUUCUGAAAUGAUGAGUGAUAAUGACCAUACAGGUCAACUUUUCCACCACUUGGAGGGAGCCUGUCAAAGAACAAAGGCAACAGAGAAGAGAGCAGAGCUGAGGUUGGGUGAGAGGGAGAAAUGCCUGAGUGCUUGAAUCCCACAUGCCGGAAGCCGCACCACAUUUGGACUUCUCAAUACAGGAGCCACUGAGAAACCAAGUUAUGCUGAAGACCUGGAAAUCCCAGCAGGCUGCAAACCAGCUGCAACUACAAUGGGUCAGCCCUUUUGAGAUGCUGCUGACUACCCACUCAUCUGCC
rnacentral:lncRNA from 1 species